rnacentral:rRNA from 1 species
CUAAGAGCGAAUGGUGGAUGCCUUGACUGGUAAAGGCGAUGAAGGACGUACUAGACUGCGAUAAGCUACGGGGAGCUGUCAAGAAGCUUUGAUCCGUAGAUUUCCGAAUGGGGCAACCCAAUGUAUAGAGAUAUACAUUACCUAUAUAGGAGCGAACGAGGGGAAUUGAAACAUCUUAGUACCCUCAGGAAAAGAAAUCAAUAGAGAUUGCGUCAGUAGCGGCGAGCGAAAGCGCAAGAGGGCAAACCCAGUGCUUGCACUGGGGGUUGUAGGACUGCAAUGUGCAAGAGGUGAGUUUAGCAGAACAUUCUGGAAAGUAUAGCCAUAGAGGGUGAUAGUCCCGUAUGCGAAAAACAAACCUUAGCUAGCAGUAUCCUGAGUAGGGCGGGACACGAGAAAUCCUGUCUGAAGCUGGGUCGACCACGAUCCAACCCUAAAUACUAAUACCAGAUCGAUAGUGCACAAGUACCGUGAGGGAAAGGUGAAAAGAACUGAGGUGAUCAGAGUGAAAUAGAACCUGAAACCAUUUGCUUACAAUCAUUCAGAGCACUAUGUAGCAAUACAGUGUGAUGGACUGCCUUUUGCAUAAUGAGCCUGCGAGUUGUGGUGUCUGGCAAGGUUAAGCAAACGCGAAGCCGUAGCGAAAGCGAGUCUGAAUAGGGCGCUUAGUCAGAUGCUGCAGACCCGAAACGAAGUGAUCUAUCCAUGAGCAAGUUGAAGCUAGUGUAAGAACUAGUGGAGGACUGAACCCAUAGGCGUUGAAAAGCCCCGGGAUGACUUGUGGAUAGGGGUGAAAGGCCAAUCAAACUUCGUGAUAGCUGGUUCUCUCCGAAAUAUAUUUAGGUAUAGCGUUGUGUCGUAAUAUAAGGGGGUAGAGCACUGAAUGGGCUAGGGCAUACACCAAUGUACCAAACCCUAUCAAACUCCGAAUACCUUAUAUGUAAUCACAGCAGUCAGGCGGCGAGUGAUAAAAUCCGUCGUCAAGAGGGAAACAACCCAGACUACCAGCUAAGGUCCCUAAAUCUUACUUAAGUGGAAAACGAUGUGAAGUUACUUAAACAACCAGGAGGUUGGCUUAGAAGCAGCCAUCCUUUAAAGAAAGCGUAAUAGCUCACUGGUCUAGUGAUUUUGCGCGGAAAAUAUAACGGGGCUAAAGUAAGUACCGAAGCUGUAGACUUGACUUUGUCAAGUGGUAGGAGAGCGUUCUAUUUGCGUCGAAGGUAUACCGGUAAGGAGUGCUGGAGCGAAUAGAAGUGAGCAUGCAGGCAUGAGUAGCGAUAAUUAAUGUGAGAAUCAUUAACGCCGUAAACCCAAGGUUUCCUACGCGAUGCUCGUCAUCGUAGGGUUAGUCGGGUCCUAAGUCGAGUCCGAAAGGGGUAGACGAUGGCAAAUUGGUUAAUAUUCCAAUACCAACAUUAGUGUGCGAUGGAAGGACGCUUAGGGCUAAGGGGGCUAGCGGAUGGAAGUGCUAGUCUAAGGUCGUAGGUGCUUAUACAGGCAAAUCCGUAUAAGAAUACACCGAGAACUGAAAGGCUUUUUGAAGUCUUCGGAUGGAUAGAAGAACCCCUGAUGCCGUCGAGCCAAGAAAAGUUUCUAAGUUUAGCUAAUGUUGCCCGUACCGUAAACCGACACAGGUGGGUGGGAUGAGUAUUCUAAGGCGCGUGGAAGAACUCUCUUUAAGGAACUCUGCAAAAUAGCACCGUAUCUUCGGUAUAAGGUGUGGUUCGCUUCGUAUUAGGAUUUACUCCGAAAGCGAAGAAACUUACAACAAAGAGUCCCUCCCGACUGUUUACCAAAAACACAGCACUCUGCUAACUCGUAAGAGGAUGUAUAGGGUGUGACGCCUGCCCGGUGCUCGAAGGUUAAUUGAUGGGGUUAGCAUUAGCGAAGCUCUUGAUCGAAGCCCGAGUAAACGGCGGCCGUAACUAUAACGGUCCUAAGGUAGCGAAAUUCCUUGUCGGUUAAAUACCGACCUGCAUGAAUGGCGUAACGAGAUGGGAGCUGUCUCAAAGAGGGAUCCAGUGAAAUUGUAGUGGAGGUGAAAAUUCCUCCUACCCGCGGCAAGACGGAAAGACCCCGUGGACCUUUACUACAGCUUGACACUGCUAUUUGGAUAAGAAUGUGCAGGAUAGGUGGGAGGCUUUGAGUAUAUGACGCCAGUUGUAUAUGAGCCAUUGUUGAGAUACCACUCUUUCUUAUUUGGGUAGCUAACCAGCUUGAGUUAUCCUCAAGUGGGACAAUGUCUGGUGGGUAGUUUGACUGGGGCGGUCGCCUCCCAAAUAAUAACGGAGGCUUACAAAGGUUGGCUCAGAACGGUUGGAAAUCGUUCGUAGAGUAUAAAGGUAUAAGCCAGCUUAACUGCAAGACAUACAAGUCAAGCAGAGACGAAAGUCGGUCUUAGUGAUCCGGUGGUUCUGUGUGGAAGGGCCAUCGCUCAAAGGAUAAAAGGUACCCCGGGGAUAACAGGCUGAUCUCCCCCAAGAGCUCACAUCGACGGGGAGGUUUGGCACCUCGAUGUCGGCUCAUCGCAUCCUGGGGCUGGAGCAGGUCCCAAGGGUAUGGCUGUUCGCCAUUUAAAGCGGUACGCGAGCUGGGUUCAGAACGUCGUGAGACAGUUCGGUCCCUAUCUGCCGUGGGCGUAAGAAGAUUGAAGAGAUUUGACCCUAGUACGAGAGGACCGGGUUGAACAAACCACUGGUGUAGCUGUUGUUCUGCCAAGAGCAUCGCAGCGUAGCUAAGUUUGGAAAGGAUAAACGCUGAAAGCAUCUAAGCGUGAAGCCAACUCUAAGAUGAAUCUUCUCUAAGCUCUCUAGAAGACUACUAGUUUGAUAGGCUGGGUGUGUAAUGGAUGAAAGUCCUUUAGCUGACCAGUACUAAUAGAGCGUUUGGCUUAUCU